UACGAAGGGUGCAAGCGUUACUCGGAAUUACUGGGCGUAAAGGGCGCGUAGGCGGCCUUCUAAGUCGAACGUGAAAUCCCCGGGCUCAACCCGGGAACUGCGUCCGAUACUGGAAGGCUUGAAUCCGGGAGAGGGAUGCGGAAUUCCAGGUGUAGCGGUGAAAUGCGUAGAUAUCUGGAGGAACACCGGUGGCGAAGGCGGCAUCCUGGACCGGCAUUGACGCUGAGGCGCGAAAGCCAGGGGAGCAAACGGG
rnacentral:rRNA from 1 species